rnacentral:rRNA from 1 species
AUUAAUAGAUAUGUUCUUUAAACUUGAAGAAUUUGGCGGUGGUUUAUACUUGUUAGAGGAACCUGUUUUUGAAUCGAUACACCACGUGAAAUCUUACUCGUCUUUAUUUAGUUUAUAUACCGUCAUUAUCAGAUAAUUUCUAGAGAAUGUAAUUAUUAUGUAUUACUUUAAAGUAAGCGAAAUUAGAUCAAGGUGUAGCUAAUAGACGAGCUAAAAUGGGUUACAAUAAAAUUUUAUUUAAUACGGAGUAGACAUAGGAAAUAUUCUAUAAAGGGGGAUUUAAUUGUAAUGAGAGUAUAAGAAGCUUGGAAGAUAUAAGCUCUAAACCAU